GAUCAUGGCUCAGGACGAACGCUGGCGGCGCGCCUAACACAUGCAAGUCGAACGGAACCCUUUCUGAGAAAUUUUCGGAUGGAUCGGGAAGGCGUUUAGUGGCGGACGGGUGAGUAACACGUGAGCAACCUGCCUUUCAGAGGGGGGAUAACAGUUGGAAACGACUGCUAAUACCGCAUAAUAUACCGAGACGGCAUCGUCAUGGUAUCAAAGGAGCAAUCCGCUGAAAGAUGGGCUCGCGGCCGA
rnacentral:rRNA from 1 species